rnacentral:tRNA from 1 species
UGGGGGGUAACAUAAUACUAAUGUACUUCUUUUACACAGAAGAAAUGGGGUUUUACCUCUCCCCUUAU